UUUUUUAAGAAUUAUAAUUUUUAUAUUAGUUAACCGAAUGGGUUCUCUCUAUAUAUAUAUGGCUCAAGUCCAACAAAUCUAAGCAAACAUAAGAAAUAGUGUCUUUAGUAAUCGAUGUCUGGACUUGUGGAUAUUUGGACAAGCGAGAUGUCCAAACUAAGGGAAAAGGAAAAGAAACAAAUUGAGAGCAGUUACUCUGCUUGCUCCACUCAACAAAAGGACAACACUUCAACUGUUGUUGCUCAACAAGUUCAAUUUUACAAGCCUAGGUUCCUGUUUUCCGAAGCUUCACUUACCAUGCUUGUUGAAUGCUUUAAUCCUUGAAUCAAACCAAGGAGUUUCUUAACCCCUGAUAAUUCACGUGUGAAUGUGUAUAUAUUGUUCCUUCAUCAACCUCUUUUUUUUUUUAGAAGAACAACUCCUGCUUAAUGAAAAUAUGUAAUACGUUUGUUAGUUUAAAAUGAAAUAAGGGUAUGAAUAUCGUUUCAGUAGAAAUGAAGUGUCUUAAGUUUACAUUAGAUGUAAAUUAGUUUAGUACUUAUAAACAACAAGAUAAUAUUUUUUUUUCUUCUUAUUUUCUAAAACACAAAAAUUAAUAAAUAACUCUUUGGAUUAUAAAAAUUAUCGUUAAUUUAUUAAUUUAUAAAAAAACAUAUCACAAUUCUUUAAUUUAUGAACGUGCAUAAAAGCUCUUUUUUUGUUCUUAUGGUUACUGAUUCAAUAUAUUAUGAAGUCCAAAAAAGGCGGAUUUAUUUGAGUUUAUUUUUACAUAGUAUAUCUAGUUACAAGAAGAAGAAGAAGAAAAAGUUUGAAGUGGUUUCAAGAACAAAAAUGUUUCAUGGAUACAUAUCUUGUACACUUAUAACACUUGGUUAAUUUUAUGUAAACAUUUAGUUAAUUCAAUUAACCAGAUAGUUAAUUU
rnacentral:lncRNA from 1 species